AACGAACGCUGGCGGUAUGCUUAACACAUGCAAGUCGAACGAAUGAGGAAUCUAGCUUGCUAGAUUCUAAGUUAGUGGCAAACGGGUGAGUAACACGUGGGAAUCUACCCAGUAGUACAGAAUAACAGCUAGAAAUGGCUGCUAAUACUGUAUAGUAUCGAGAGAUUAAAGAUUUAUCGCUACUGGAUGAGCCCGCGUCAGAUUAGGUAGUUGGUGGGGUAAUGGCCUACCAAGCCCAAGAUCUGUAGCUGGUCUGAGAGGAUGACCAGCCACACUGGAACUGAGACACGGUCCAGACUCCUACGGGAGGCAGCAGUGAGGAAUAUUGGACAAUGGGCGAAAGCCUGAUCCAGCAAUACCGCGUGAGUGAAGAAGGCCU
rnacentral:rRNA from 1 species